GAUGAACGCUGGCGGCGUGCCUAAUACAUGCAAGUCGAGCGAACAGACGAGGAGCUUGCUCCUCUGACGUUAGCGGCGGACGGGUGAGUAACACGUGGAUAACCUACCUAUAAGACUGGGAUAACUUCGGGAAACCGGAGCUAAUACCGGAUAAUAUAUUGAACCGCAUGGUUCAAUAGUGAAAGACGGUUUUGCUGUCACUUAUAGAUGGAUCCGCGCCGCAUUAGCUAGUUGGUAAGGUAACGGCUUACCAAGGCAACGAUGCGUAGCCGACCUGAGAGGGUGAUAGGCCACACUGGAACUGAGACACGGUCCAGACUCCUACGGGAGGCAGCAGUAGGGAAUCUUACGCAAUGGGCGAAAGCCUGACGGAGCAACGCCGCGUGAGUGAUGAAGGUCUUCGGAUCGUAAAACUCUGUUAUGAGGGAAGAACAAAUGUGUAAGUAACUAUGCACGUCUUGACGGUACCUAAUCAGAAAGCCACGGCUAACUACGUG
rnacentral:rRNA from 1 species